rnacentral:rRNA from 1 species
CCUACGGGAGGCAGCAGUGGGGAAUAUUGCACAAUGGGCGAAAGCCUGAUGCAGCAACGCCGCGUGAGGGACGACGGCCUUCGGGUUGUAAACCUCUUUUAGUAGGGAAGAAGCGAAAGUGACGGUACCUGCAGAAAAAGCACCGGCUAACUACGUGCCAGCAGCCGCGGUAAUACGUAGGGUGCAAGCGUUAUCCGGAAUUAUUGGGCGUAAAGAGCUCGUAGGCGGUUUGUCGCGUCUGCUGUGAAAAACUGGGGGCUCAACCCC